GAUCGAAAAAAAAAUGCUAAAAAGGCAAGCAGGAAGUUGUAUAGCACUGCGCUAAAACACCACCAAACAACACAUGGUGCAGAUAGCCUGACUUGAAAGAGGCCAAACAUUUUCUUGGUAGUAGGUUCUCAACUAUUUGAAAAUAUAAUAUAACCAACCAAUUCUCACUGAUCUGUUUGGAUUUAAGAUCCGUUUUUCUGAUGGAUGAAAGAUAAGUGCAUUUGACAGAACAGAUGCGUUAUGUCAAAAACAUUCGUUGUGAAAUACCAUGUUAUGUUAGCAACAACCAUAUUUACAUAAUAAGAGCAUAUUGUUG
rnacentral:lncRNA from 1 species